CAAAUGCCCAGACACCUCAGGGUCAAGGAUGCGCUGGAGGCAAACCAGGUGGAGACGGGCAUGGGCCUGGACACGGACAUGGGCCUGGCCACGGACAUGGACCUGGACACGGGCAUGGGCCUGGCCACGGACAUGGACCUGGACACGGACAUGGAGAUGGAAAAGCCCAUGACCAUGGGCAUGGAAAACCUCCUGGUCCUCCCAAGUAGAUAAUCAUUCUGUGCACAUUGUUAAAAGAUAAAGAUAUGUUCAAU